rnacentral:rRNA from 1 species
GAUGAACGCUGGCGGCGUGCCUAACACAUGCAAGUCGAACGGAGAUUACGGACGGAAGUUUUCGGAUGGAAGACUGUAAUUCUUAGUGGCGGACGGGUGAGUAACGCGUGGGCAACCUGCCCUAUACAGGGGGAUAGCAGCUGGAAACGGCUGGUAAGACCGCAUAAGUCGGCGAGACCGCAUGGUUUUGCCGGGAAAUGAGCAAUCAGGUAUAGGAUGGGCCCGCGUCCGAUUAGCCAGUUGGCAGGGUAAAAGCCUACCAAAGCAACGAUCGGUAGCCGGACUGAGAGGUCUGACGGCCACAUUGGGACUGAGACACGGCCCAAACUCCUACGGGAGGCAGCAGUGGGGGAUAUUGCACAAUGGAGGAAACUCUGAUGCAGCGACGCCGCGUGAGUGAAGAAGUAUUUCGGUAUGUAAAGCUCUAUCAGCAGGGAAGAUGAUGACGGUACCUGACUAAGAAGCCCCGGCUAACUACGUG